AACGAACGCUGGCGGCAUGCCUAACACAUGCAAGUCGAACGAACCCUUCGGGGUUAGUGGCGCACGGGUGCGUAACGCGUGGGAAUCUGCCCUUUGCUUCGGAAUAACUCAGGGAAACUUGUGCUAAUACCGGAUGAUGUCUUCGGACCAAAGAUUUAUCGGCAAGGGAUGAGCCCGCGUAGGAUUAGGUAGUUGGUGGGGUAAAGGCCUACCAAGCCGACGAUCCUUAGCUGGUCUGAGAGGAUGAUCAGCCACACUGGGACUGAGACACGGCCCAGACCCCUACGGGAGGGAGGAGUGGGGAAAAUUGGACAAGGGGCCGAAGCCUGACCCAGCAAUGCCGGGUGGGGUAUGAAGGCCCUCGGGCCGUAAAGCUCUUUUACCAGGGAUGAUAAUGACAGUACCUGGAAAAUAAGCCGCGGCUAACCCCGU
rnacentral:rRNA from 1 species